GAUGAACGCUGACAGAAUGCUUAACACAUGCAAGUCAACUUGAACUUCGGUUUGGGUGGCGGACGGGUGAGUAACGCGUAAAGAACUUGCCUCACAGAUAGGGACAACAUUUGGAAACGAAUGCUAAUACCUGAUAUUAUGAUUAUAUGGCAUCGUAUAAUUAUGAAAGCUAUAUGCGCUGUGAGAGAGCUUUGCGUCCCAUUAGCUAGUUGGAGAGGUAACGGCUCACCAAGGCGAUGAUGGGUAGCCGGCCUGAGAGGGUGAUCGGCCACAAGGGGACUGAGACACGGCCCUUACUCCUACGGGAGGCAGCAGUGGGGAAUAUUGGACAAUGGACCAAGAGUCUGGUACAGCAAUUCUGUGUGCAAGAUGAAGUUUUUCGGAAUGUAAAGUGCUUUCAGUUGAGAAGAAAAAAAUGACGGUACCAACAGAAGAAGUGACGGCUAAAUACGUG
rnacentral:rRNA from 1 species